rnacentral:rRNA from 1 species
GACGACGCUGGCGGCGUGCCUAAUACAUGCAAGUAGAACGCUGAAGGAGGAGCUUGCUUCUCUGGAUGAGUUGCGAACGGGUGAGUAACGCGUAGGUAACCUGCCUGGUAGCGGGGGAUAACUAUUGGAAACGAUAGCUAAUACCGCAUAAGAGUAGAUGUUGCAUGACAUUUGCCUAAAAGGUGCAAUUGCAUCACUACCAGAUGGACCUGCGUUGUAUUAGCUAGUUGGUGAGGUAACGGCUCACCAAGGCGACGAUACAUAGCCGACCUGAGAGGGUGAUCGGCCACACUGGGACUGAGACACGGCCCAGACUCCUACGGGAGGCAGCAGUAGGGAAUCUUCGGCAAUGGACGGAAGUCUGACCGAGCAACGCCGCGUGAGUGAAGAAGGGUUUUCGGAUCGUAAAGCUCUGUUGUAAGAGAAGAACGAGUGUGAGAGUGGAAAGUUCACACUGUGACGGUAUCUUACCAGAAAGGGACGGCUAACUACGUGCCAGCAGCCGCGGUAAUACGUAGGUCCCGAGCGUUGUCCGGAUUUAUUGGGCGUAAAGCGAGCGCAGGCGGUUAGAUAAGUCUGAAGUUAAAGGCUGUGGCUUAACCAUAGUACGCUUUGGAAACUGUUUAACUUGAGUGCAAGAGGGGAGAGUGGAAUUCCAUGUGUAGCGGUGAAAUGCGUAGAUAUAUGGAGGAACACCGGUGCGAAAGCGGCUCUCUGGCUUGGUAACUGACGCUGAGGCUCGAAAGCGUGGGGAGCAACAGG